rnacentral:rRNA from 1 species
UCCAGACUCCUACGGGAGGCAGCAGUGGGGAAUAUUGCACAAUGGGGGAAACCCUGAUGCAGCGACGCCGCGUGAGUGAAGAAGUAUUUCGGUAUGUAAAGCUCUAUCAGCAGGGAGGAAGAAAGACGGUACCUGACUAAGAAGCCCCGGCUAACUACGUGCCAGCAGCCGCGGUAAUACGUAGGGGGCAAGCGUUAUCCGGAUUUACUGGGUGUAAAGGGAGCGUAGACGGAGAAGCAAGUCUGAAGUGAAAGCCCGUGGCUUAACCACGGGACUGCUUUGGAAACUGUUUGACUAGAGUGCUGGAGAGGUAAGUGGAAUUCCUAGUGUAGCGGUGAAAUGCGUAGAUAUUAGGAGGAACACCAGUGGCGAAGGCGGCCUGCUGGACGAUGACUGACGUUGAGGCUCGAAAGCGUGGGGAGCAAACAGGAUUAGAUACCCUUGUAC